rnacentral:rRNA from 1 species
CCUACGGGAGGCAGCAGUGGGGAAUAUUGGGCAAUGGGCGCAAGCCUGACCCAGCAACGCCGCGUGAAGGAAGAAGGCUUUCGGGUUGUAAACUUCUUUUCUGAGGGACGAAGAAAGUGACGGUACCUCAGGAAUAAGCCACGGCUAACUACGUGCCAGCAGCCGCGGUAAUACGUAGGUGGCAAGAGUUAUCCGGUUUUAUUGGGUGUAAAGGGCGUGUAGGCGGGAAAGCAAGUCAGAUGUGAAAACUCCGGGCUCAACCCUGAGCCUACAUUUGAAACUGUUUUUCUUGAGUGCUGGAGAGGCGAGCGGAAUUCCGUGUGUAGCGGUGAAAUGCGUAGAUAUACGGAGGAAAACCAGUGGCGAAGGCGGAUUGCUGGACAGUAACUGACGCUGAGGCGCGAAAGCGUGGGGAGCAAACAGGAUUAGAUACCCUUGUAGUC